GGGUCGUUAGCUCAGUUGGUAGAGCAGUUGGCUUUUAACCAAUUGGUCGCUGGUUCGAAUCC
rnacentral:tRNA from 1 species